CAUAGAAUUUGUGUAAUUAAAUCAUAUUAUUUAAAAUUUUGAACCGUUUUUGUAAGUAAUUGUAUUGACUAUAUGACGUAUAGUGUAGAUCGUAUACGCAGUGCAUUAAUACCAAAAUCAACAUUAAAUUACUUGAAAUAUUAUUGCUGACAAGGCCACGGCGUUGUCAUACGUUUGACACCCCGCGGUCGUAUCAGCUCCUUCUCAGCCACCGCACCACUGUAAACCGGACCGUUACACACACGCGUUAUCGCCGUGGUGUAAAGUCCAACAAAUGCCUAACGUCGAAUACCCGCCGCAAUAAUACGUCGAGUCAGUCAUCUUCGUGACACCGUUACAGUCCUUUGUUCUUUUUACCGUCCGUCAAUACCAUCGGAUCACCACCGCAGUUCUUUUCGAGCAGUUUUGACAUUCGCCGACGAGAAACAUUUUCUACGCUAUCAUUCAACAAUCAGUACUAUUUCAAUGUUAUUACCUUUCUUUCUCUAUUCUUGUUUUUAAAUAAAUCGGCUCGACGCCACCGCAGAAAACUUAAUCUUGUGUCGUCUACUCAUUCAGCAACUACCCACUAACAUUGCAUUACAUAGGACGUAAGCUAAGUAGAAUUUUACCUAUGCUUUCGAACCUCCAACAAUUUCUAAUUAAAUUUUCUUAUUAUUAUCAUAUAUAUUAAUCGUUUAUCUGCUCUUACUCUUUUUUUUAUUUUAUUUUUAGUUUAUUACAGUCUGUGGCAUAUUUUGAACAAUAAUUUCUGAAGUCAUUAACAUUUUUCAAUAUAUAAUUGUGGCAAUAUGCAGAUUGUACUAUUUUUAUCAUUCUAGCGCGUUCUCCUAUUAGCCUGAAGUUAGAAACAUUAUCGUAUAUCGACUACAAGUGUUCCAUGGUUAGCCAAGUUAAAAGUAAGAAAUUACGUACUAUUAUGUAAUAUAGUUUAUUAUUUGUAAUACUGCAAGUAAAAUAUUUUUGUAAUUUUUGGUUUAAUUGUAAUAUAUUGAAUUAUUGUUACUAGACCAGGAAGUAAAUAUUUAUUAAAAAUUUUUGAUUGUAUUGUUAAUGUUGUAAUCGUAAAAAGAAGAAAAACAAAAUAUUUUAGCAUAUAAGACAAAAUGUAAUGAAUUGUAAAGGAGAAGAGAGAGGACCUCGGGAAUGCCAAAGGUAAUCUUUUUUUGCGUGGUUCGCGUUAGUGACAUUAAGUUCUCAUUUUGUGUAUUGUUUUAUUAAGUUUCUUUAUUUUGUAUGUUUUACAUUGUUUAAUUAUAUCUUUAGUAGUUA